rnacentral:RNase_P_RNA from 1 species
GAGUUGGAUAAGUGAUCGCGGCUGCAUUUUAUGCAGGUGAGGAAAGUCCGGGCUUCACAGGGCAGGAUGCCGGAUAACGUCCGGUGGAGGCGACUCCCAGGCCAGUGCAACAGAAAUAUACCGCCAUAUUCUCAGGAAUAUGGUAAGGGUGGAAAGGCGAGGUAAGAGCUCACCGCUGCCAUGGUAACAUGGCAGGCUCUGUAAACCCCAUCCGAAGCAAGACCAAAUAUAGUCUCCCACGGGAGACUUGUGGAAUGAUACAGUUGCCCGCUGCAUUCCAGGUAGGUUGCUUGAGUUUUAUGGUAACAUAACUCCUAGAUAGAUGAUCACUCUCGACAUAACCCGGCUUACAGUCCAACUCAU